AUUGAACGCUGGCGGCAUGCCUUACACAUGCAAGUCGAACGGCAGCACGGACUUCGGUCUGGUGGCGAGUGGCGAACGGGUGAGUAAUGUAUCGGAACGUACCUUUCAGUUGGGGAUAACGUAGCGAAAGUUACGCUAAUACCGCAUAUUCUGUGAGCAGGAAAGCAGGGGAUCGCAAGACCUUGCGCUGAUUGAGCGGCCGAUAUCAGAUUAGCUAGUUGGUGGGGUAAAGGCCUACCAAGGCUACGAUCUGUAGCGGGUCUGAGAGGAUGAUCAGCCACACUGGAACUGAGACACGGUCCAGACUCCUACGGGAGGCAGCAGUGGGGAAUUUUGGACAAUGGGGGCAACCCUGAUCCAGCCAUGCCGCGUGAGUGAAGAAGGCCUUCGGGUUGUAAAGCUCUUUCGGCCGGGAAGAAAACGCAUCAGCUAAUACCUGGUGUGGAUGACGGUACCGGAAUAAGAAGCACCGGCUAACUACGUG
rnacentral:rRNA from 1 species